rnacentral:lncRNA from 1 species
AUGACCCUACAACUGCUGGGCUUGGAUGACGGCACUGAGCCCAGUGAUAGGAAUCCUGUCCUGAUGAGAGGGGCCUACUUGUCUUUUCUGUAUCUGCGCCAUCUUCGAAUCAGAGAACUGCAGCGCAUCUGCUUAGGAAUUCUGAAUUAUUUCAGAUCUGUUGAGCGAACCCUGACAAUCAACACUUCGGGCCUUACCUUGGUCCCCACCAUGGAAGAUGGUUCCUGGGUAAAUAUGGCAAAAGGAGGUCUGGGCACCUCGCAGGGCCUGGGCGCUCACCACUAUGUCCAUGAGACGCCUGCUGAGCACAAGGUCCACGGCAUCCAAUUCAUGGAGUUCUCGGAAGUGGAGAACCAGGAUGACUACUACAGCACGGAAGCUGGCUGUAUCCACACCCAGGACCAGCAAGGGGUGCAUGUCAUGUAUGAGGAAGCCUUGAGUGAUCUCAAGGAACUAGAGGCAGAGUUGCUGCUUGUGGCUAGCCAUUACAUUGAGAAAGAAAGGGGUGAGAAGUCAGAUUUAAAAAAAAAAAAUCAACUGCCCAAAUAA